AUUGAACGCUGGCGGCAUGCCUAACACAUGCAAGUCGAGCGGAGGAAGGGAGCUUGCUCCUGGAGUCAGCGGCGGACGGGUGAGUAAUGCCUAGGAAUCUGCCUGGUAGUGGGGGAUGACGUCCGGUAACGGGCGCUAAUACCGCAUACGUCCUGAGGGAGAAAGUGGGGGAUCUUCGGACCUCACGCUAUCCGAUGAUCCUAGGUCGGAUUGGCUAGUUGGUGGGGUAAAGGCCUACCAAGGCGACGAUCCGUAACUGGUCUGAGAGGAUGAUCAGGCACACUGGAACUGAGAAACGGUCCAGCCUCCUACGGGAGGCAGAAGUGGGGAAUAUUGGACAAUGGGCGAAAGCCUGAUCCAGCCAUGCCGCGUGUGUGAAGAAGGUCUUCGGAUUGUAAAGCCCUUUAAGUUGGGAGGACGGGCAGUAAGUUAAUACCUUGCUGUUUUGACGUUACCAAACGAAUAAGCACCGGCUAACUUCGUG
rnacentral:rRNA from 1 species